GAACGCUGGCGGCGUGCUUAACACAUGCAAGUCGAACGGUGAAGCGCCUUCCUUUUUGGUGGGUGUGGAUGAGUGGCGAACGGGUGAGUAACACGUGAGUAACCUGCCCCCUUCUUCUGGAUAACCGCAUGAAAGUGUGGCUAAUACGGGAUAUUCUGGGUCUGUCGCAUGAUGGGUCUGGGAAAGAUAUUGUUUCGGUGGGGGAUGGGCUCGCGGCCUAUCAGCUUGUUGGGGGGGUGAUGGCCUACCAAGGCGGUGACGGGUAGCCGGCCUGAGAGGGUGGACGGUCACACUGGGACUGAGACACGGCCCAGACUCCUACGGGAGGCAGCAGUGGGGAAUAUUGCACAAUGGGCGCAAGCCUGAUGCAGCGACGCCGCGUGAGGGAUGGAGGCCUUCGGGUUGUGAACCUCUUUCGCCAGUGAAGCAGGCCUGCCUCGUUUGUGGGUGGGUUGACGGUAGCUGGAUAAGAAGCGCCGGCUAACUACGUG
rnacentral:rRNA from 1 species